AGUGAACGCUGGCGGUAGGCCUAACACGUGCAAGUCGAACGGCAGCACAGUAAGGGCUUGCUCUUACGGGUGGCGAGUGGCGGACGGGUGAGGAAUACAUCGGAAUCUACUUUUUCGUGGGGGAUAACGUAGGGAAACUUACGCUAAUACCGCAUACGACCUACGGGUGAAAGCAGGGGAUCUUCGGACCUUGCGCGAUUGAAUGAGCCGAUGUCGGAUUAGCUAGUUGGCGGGGUAAAGGCCCACCAAGGCGACGAUCCGUAGCUGGUCUGAGAGGAUGAUCAGCCACACUGGAACUGAGACACGGUCCAGACUCCUACGGGAGGCAGCAGUGGGGAAUAGUGGACAAUGGGCGCAAGCCUGAUCCAGCCAUACCGCGUGGGUGAAGAAGGCCUUCGGGUUGUAAAGCCCUUUUGUCGGGAAAGAAAAGCAGCAGGUUAAUACCCCGCUGUUCUGACGGUACCCAGAAUAAGCACCGGCUAACUUCGUG
rnacentral:rRNA from 1 species